rnacentral:tRNA from 1 species
GGAAGCGUGGCCGAGCAGAUGAAGCCACCGGUCUUGAAAACCGGCGACGGGUGACCGUCCGUGAGUUCGAAUUUCACCGCUUUCGCCA